CAACCUACCUAUCAGAGGGGAAUAACCCGGCGAAAGUCGGACUAAUACCGCAUAAAACAGGGGCACCGCAUGGUGAUAUUUGUUAAAGAAAUUCGCUGAUAGAUGGGCAUGCGCUCCAUUAGGUAGUUGGUGAGGUAACGGCUCACCAAGCCGACGAUGGAUAGGGGAACUGAGAGGUUGGUCCCCCACACUGGUACUGAGACACGGACCAGACUCCUACGGGAGGCAGCAGUGAGGAAUAUUGGUCAAUGGGCGGGAGCCUGAACCAGCCAAGUCGCGUGAAGGAAGAAGGAUCUAUGGUUCGUAAACUUCCUUUGCAGGGGAAUAAAGUGCGGGACGUGUCCUGUUUUGUAUGUACCCUGAGAAUAAGGAUCGGCUAACUCCGUGCCAGCAGCCGCGGUAAUACGGAGGAUCCGAGCGUUAUCCGGAUUUAUUGGGUUUAAAGGGUGCGUAGGUGGUUUGAUAAGUCAGCGGUGAAAGUUUGCAGCUUAACUGUGAAAAUGCCGUUGAAACUGUCGGACUUGAGUGUAAAUGAGGUAGGCGGAAUGCGUGGUGUAGCGGUGAAAUGCAUAGAUAUCACGAAGAACUCCGAUUG
rnacentral:rRNA from 1 species